UGAAAAGCAACAAAAUAAAAGCGAGAGGAAACUUCAAGCGGGUUAUUUCGAAUCUAAAAUAAAUACAUCAAGACUCAAGAUCUAUUUAGAAUCUUAUCUUAGUAUCUAGACUAGGAGGAGUACUGGAUCUCUUAUUCUCUAAGUUGUUGAAAAGAAAUUAAAAUUAAUGUGAGAUGUUUAAAAUCAAAGAGUGGUGCACAGUUGCAGUCAGCAGGAGUUUUUCCGCUGUCCAAGAUCUUGUAAUUGGCAAUAAACAAGUAGAAAUCGCAGACAAAAUAAAUGGAAAAAAAGAAGUCACAAAUACUG
rnacentral:sRNA from 1 species